rnacentral:rRNA from 1 species
AUUGAACGCUGGCGGCAGGCUUAACACAUGCAAGUCGAGCGGAGUGAUGGUGCUUGCACUAUCACUUAGCGGCGGACGGGUGAGUAAUGCUUAGGAAUCUGCCUAUUAGUGGGGGACAACAUCUCGAAAGGGAUGCUAAUACCGCAUACGUCCUACGGGAGAAAGCAGGGGAUCACUUGUGACCUUGCGCUAAUAGAUGAGCCUAAGUCGGAUUAGCUAGUUGGUGGGGUAAAGGCCUACCAAGGCGACGAUCUGUAGCGGGUCUGAGAGGAUGAUCCGCCACACUGGGACUGAGACCCGGCCCAGACUCCUACGGGGGGCAGCAGUGGGGAAUAUUGGACAAUGGGGGGAACCCUGAUCCAGCCAUGCCGCGUGUGUGAAGAAGGCCUUAUGGUUGUAAAGCACUUUAAGCGAGGAGGAGGCUCUUUUGGUUAAUACCCAAGAUGAGUGGACGUUACUCGCAGAAUAAGCACCGGCUAACUCUGUGCCAGCAGCCGCCGUAACAC